rnacentral:rRNA from 1 species
UAGGGAAUCUUCGGCAAUGGGGGGAACCCUGACCGAGCAACGCCGCGUGAGUGAAGAAGGUUUUCGGAUCGUAAAGCUCUGUUGUUAAGGAAGAACGAGUGUGAGAAUGGAAAGUUCAUACUGUGACGGUACUUAACCAGAAAGGGACGGCUAACUACGUGCCAGCAGCCGCGGUAAUACGUAGGUCCCGAGCGUUGUCCGGAUUUAUUGGGCGUAAAGCGAGCGCAGGCGGUUAGAUAAGUCUGAAGUUAAAGGCAGUGGCUCAACCAUUGUAGGCUUUGGAAACUGUUUAACGUGAGUGCAGAAGAGGAGAGUGGAAUUCCAUGUGUAGCGGUGAAAUGCGUAGAUAUAUGGAGGAACACCAGUGGCGAAGGCGACUCUCUGGUCUGUAACUGACGCUGAGGCUCGAAAGCGUGGGUAGCAAACAGG